ACUCUGAGAGAGAGUUAAAGGAGGACGUGAAACCGCUGGGAUGGAAACGAAUAGAGUUGACGAAACCAACCGUCAUUCAACCGAUCAGCUCAGCGGUCUCUUUGCUCUUGUGUACCUUGAUUUCACAUGCAUAUCUCUCUUUCAUGUGAGCUAUGUAAUGUAUCAAUGGACAUGUGCAAGAGGUGCUGUUGAGUAGUUUUCAAAUAUGCCUGUGUGAUCGGUGCAUUUGAUGGUGGUACGCGCCGAGAGCCGUGUCCAUGUACGACAAAGCUUUUGGUAGUGGAUCGAGUGAUUUAAUUGCAUUCGAAAACCUACCUAAGUGGAUGAUGCGUAUCAUGU
rnacentral:rRNA from 1 species